GUUUACAAGCGUAGACACCCUCGACACCCUCAUUUCUCCCCCACUUUCCUACCCUAUGAAUGAACUUAGAGAUGGAAGAAGAGGAGCCUUAUCUUUGGGAGAUGAGAAAUUUGAGGCUGAAAGAAAAUUAAUGGUGUAUUGCUUAGGGAACUCUGUGGCUAUGUCUCUGGGACUCCUCUGAAUGGACUUCAGGUAAAUCGUCCAGCCUGAAAAUGGAGCCCUUUUGUGUGACAUUCAUUACACUCUCCCAGAUGAGGUGGGAAACUUGCCCACCUCAUCCUGCAUUCUGUCCCUAAAAAAUAAUGUGGCUAUAAAGUAGUAGAACAAUUCAUUUCAGAUGGCUUGCUAUAAAUUCACAUAAUGGCAAGUUUGUUAGCUGAAGAUAUAAUUCCUUAUCUCAAAGUAGUCCCUAAAUUAGUUCUUUAUUAUCAUUUUCUUGCGCCUUGGGAACAUUUUAUUUGAAGUAGUUUCUCAUGUGAGAGCCCCAAAGACACUUAAGUUCAAAUCAUGAGAUGUAUUUCAAAGAAUACUCUGUCUCAGUAGCUAUAAACUGUUGUCAUGCUUAAUUGUAUUAGAAAACUCUUUCUUAUCAUUUACUUCUUGUUAUUGCAAAAAUACAAUCUUAUUAAGUCAAAGAAAAAAUAUCGCAUAGUAUUAUAUAAUUUAUUGUUAUAGCUCUAAGAAUAAAGGAGGAAAUAUUUCAGGUUCAUUAUGUAUCUAUUUCUGCCAAAAGCUAAUUUCUGAUAAAUAAGCCAGUACAAAAAAGAGAGAAUCUACUUUGAAGCAAUAACGAUGUUCAUUUACAGAGGAUAAAUACCCUCAUUUUGGAUUAAGCUUUAUCCUCUGGAAGCUAAAUGUGCCAUAGCUGAGCAGCAAAUGUAGUUUUCCAAUCAAGUAAAGAGUCUUCCAAAGAUAGUGUCCCCACCUAAGUCACCAGUCACAUCUCCACAUCUCAGUUUAAUGAGGAUAAAAAUGUGAAGUUAGGAGGAGUAAGUCUCCUGCCAUUUCUGUUAUCAAAGGCUGAUCGAUCUGACUUUUC
rnacentral:lncRNA from 1 species